UAAACCUCGUUCAAAAAAAAUGCAGAAUAAAGUUGGUCAAGAGGAACAUAUUGAAUAUUUAGCUCGUAGUUUUCAUGAGAGUCGAUUGCCAAGAAAACCCACGCCACCUACAACGGUUCCUGAUGAGGUGGUUAGCAUAGUUCUUAAUAUAAGUUUUAAUAUACAGCCUGAAAAUCUUGAGAGAAUAAAAGAAGAACAUCGAUUUUCCAUGGCAGCUGAGAAUAUUGUAGGAGAUCUUCUAGAAAGAUGGGUGCUACAGAGGUGGUGCAUGGCUGUCGUCAGCUCGUGUCGUGAGAUGUAGGGUUAAGUCCCACAACGAGCGCAACCCCUACCCAGUGUUAUAUAUUUCUCUGGGGACUGCCCUGCCCAAACGGGGAGGAAGGUGGGGACGACGUCCAGUCAUCAUGUCCCUUAUGCCUAGGGCUACACAGACGCUACAAUGGCCAGUACAAUGGGCAGCCAAGCCGCGAGAUGGAGCUAAUCCCAUCAAAACUGGUCCCAGUUCGGAUUGCAGGCUGGAACUCGCCUGCAUGAAGUCGGAAUUGCUAGUAAUCGCACAUCAGCAUGGCGCGGUGAAUACGUUCUCGGGUCUUGUACACACCGCCUGUCAGGGCAC
rnacentral:rRNA from 1 species